GAAUCUGCAGGACAGAAUACGAGUGGGCAACAUAUUAUGGAAAGUUGACUUUUGUACUGUUUGUAGACAAACUGGUGAGUCUCUGGAAUGCCAUCAAGUGUAACAUUAAGGAAAAGCUGUCUAUUUUCCUGAAAAUGUGUCUGAGAGCAAGUUGUUUCAGGUUUCUCCGCCCAUGACUUGGAAGCUCGGCUGGGGAAAGACCCAGCACCACCUUCAAGCCAGAGUCAUACUACACUGUCAAAGCCGAAAUCAACGAUCAAGUAUCUCUGCCCAUGAUCUGGAGCUAGGUGACGACCUGAACCCCCUAUAGAGUACCACCCCCUCAAGUUCCAGGAGACUGAAAUAAUCGUAGAGCUUGAGUGGCUCCACGUACAUGUCGAAGCCCAGCGUGGACAUGGCGAACAGGAUGUCCUCACCGUUGAUGGUCUUGCGCUUCUCCUGGUGGCAGCGCUCGCUGGCCUCACUCGUGAUGAAGCUGAUGAACUCGCU